GUCAACAUCAGAAUCAUAGUCUUCCUCAUUAUGUGUGAACGGACAACCAGUUUUGACUGCAUGUCCACAUCUUUUUCUUCUGGGCAUGCAUGCAGUAGGAGGAUUCUUUGGGAGCAGAUAGGACAGUUGAGAGAGGAGAUGCACAACAUCCAGUACCAGCUCAGCAAGUUGGCUUAUUCACAUCAAGCAGAGCUUUAAUCUCAUGUAUCCUGUAGUGGCCAUGUAACACAGAGGCAAUAAGCGUAUCAUUAAUUUACCUGUAGACAGUGAUUGCCUGUUUGCUUUUAUACUUGAGCUUUCUGGGCGUCAAUAAUUCAGUCAGCAUUGCCUCUCUAGUAAUAAGGCCCAGAUUUAAACUAUAACACUAUCUCCUUAGCUGAGGUCUUGAUCAAGGUGGAUCUUAACUGGUAUCAUCUCUGUGUAGAUCACCAAAGGGAGGACGUACAACGGAGACUGACUGAGUCAUUUUCCAAAGAUAGGGUAAGAGGUACUGGUUAUCACUGCUGGUGGUGUAUGGCAUUCUGAAUCCCAUGCCUUUGAGUCCAAGCUUUAUGUCCCCUUGAACCACAGUAUCUACAGUGUACCCAAACGAUGAAGUAAAACCUGACAGUCUGACUCUGUGGAAUGACGCACUCGAGAUAUGUAUCUGUCAGUAUGAGUGUGUUUUUUUUAUAUACUCCUUGUAAGGGCACGACUUUGAAGUAAUAGUUUCUUGGGUGGCAUUUGCAGUGCAUGGAGAGAAUGAUUGACUGCUGUAUGGAGAAAGAUGACAGACAGCGCAGAUCGCAGGACGGAGCUGAUAUUUCACAACUACAGAAUUCACUUCAGAAGAUAACCAUAUCUAAGGGGAAAGCUCCCAAAAAACCUGGGCGGGUGUUCAGACCAAUCACAACCAAAUCUCUGCUAACAAACUCAGACUCUGAUGACAGCUCUACUAGAAUUGGAUUGACGUCAUUAAAAAUCAAAAAGGAAAUAAUCCCAACAGCUCGCAGGAAAUAGAGCGCUGGAUUCCACAUCUGUGACUGGAGCUAGAGCUGAAAUACUCUGAGACAAACAACAUGUGCAGUAAAAAUCUGGAAAAAUACGUUUUUUUAUUUAUUUGUUAUACCAAGCAUAUAUAUAUAUAUAUACUGUAUAUAUAUUGUUGAUUCAAGAUAACUUAUUUCCUCUUUGCAAAGUUGCAAAUGUUCUCCUCUCAUGACUAUCUCUAUCUGUACCAUAGUGACCCUCUAUCACAGUAAGCAUAUACAGUACUAUCCAGGCAUUUUUCUGUUUUAGUGUUAUAGUAUUAUAGUGACAGACGUAUGUAGUACAUUUCGGCCAUAGAUUUGCAUAUUCUGAUUGUUUGUGUUAUAGUAUAAGUUGUUACUAAUGUAGCAGACUGCAUGAGACAGGGGGGGUCACUGCAGUAGUCUUCCCAUUGUUCCUAGCGCCUGUCCUGUAUUUUUGGAGACUGAAUGGUGCAAUCUAUUGCGAAUAGUUUUUUGAACUAUGAUAACUGAUCGCUUUGAUUAAGUGAAGCACAUUCAUCAAAAUAGGCCCAGAGAUGCCACCGGCCAUCUGUAGUCUGGGAUGUCAGUGGUAGAAAAUCACAGAAACAUGGUUGCUGGUUAUAUUAUUAUUGGUUAAAACUGCGGAUAAAUUCGCUGCCAGGACUAAACUAGUGUAAAUGUACGUGCAUGUUAUGAUCACUAGGUGGCAGUUGGACACCAUUGACGUGAGCCAUUCUAGUUUACUCACACAGAGGGGCUUUGAUUUCUCUUGAGGUUGCUGUAAGAUACAAGAGAUGAUGCGGUAAGAGACAAUAAAACACCUGUUGGUCUUUUGGACACAGGUGAAGUCAUGUGCCUAUGUGGAAACACAGAUCACCUUUUUGGAGAGAAUUUAGUUUUCGUUGACACAAAUGAAAGGUAGAUAAUUCAGCCUCCUGAUUUGGCUCCAUUUUUGUUUUUGUAUAUUCUUUACAAUGGAUAGCCAUGGAAAUCCAAUGCUGAGUAGGACUAGUAAUAGUCUCUCUCUUUGAACGAGCUGACUAUGUUUACAAAUAGACUUUGAUUCAUGAGAGUGAAUGUGUCAGUCAAGCCUUUGUGCCUCUCUCCUAGUGUUUGAUGACAGGUAGUCCUCUUUGUUCAGUUUCAUUCCCAACCAAGUCAUGGUAAUGUCAUGGCAUCUUAUGUCAGACCAACAAUGCAUUAACUUUAUUAUUGUAAUGGUAUUGAGUUGGUCACCUACGUACACUGUGUUCUGAAAAGAUCAAAAUCUCAGGUGAAUGAUUAUUGCAGGCCAGUUUACAUUAGAUUCAAGUUUUAGUCAAGAGCAGAUAAAUGAGAAAUGACUAGUAGUAGUUUUAUAUGACUAUCAUAAUUGACAUCGUUUACAUUGACUGUGUUUAAAUUAAAAGUGUUUUUAUCACACAGUUGAAUACAUUUCAAAUUUGAAGAAGUGAGUUUGUGGGCAGCCACUUUGAACAUAGCAGCUGCUGAGGAUAGCACAAGUUUUAGUUUUGGACUUGUCAAGGAUCAUCCACCGCAAACUCAUAAUUAGCAGAUGCACAUCAUCAUUGUUAUACAUUGUCCAUUGGAAUGAUCAUCCACCACAAACUCAUAGUUAGCAGAUGCACAUCAUCAUUGUUCAUUGGAAGAAUAAGAUCAGGAUAGAAGAUUCCCAUAAAGUCUAAUCCACUAUGACUCAUAGGGGGUAUAUGGGAUUAAGGAUAAAGAUUUCCGAGGGGUCAGUGAUGAAAGUUGUUAUCAAACAGUGGUAAGCAACACACACAUGGAGCAAAGGGUUGUGACACGUGGUGUCAUGUGCUCCGACAUGAACCCACAUUUUUUUGUAGAACGUUUGGUCCCUUGUAGAUAAAACACCACAUUGCUCUUUUCUUUUCACUGGGUUUAUUGCAACAUGCAUUAUACCUGAAUUCUGUGGCUGCUAUACCCCUAAUAGCUCAUGGAACGAUGUCUACAGGAUGAAAGCCUCACUUCAUCUUUCAGGAAGGUUUGGCAGAAGGCGUGUGCCUGUGUCCACUCAUUUAGGGCGUAUAAAACAUCACAAUAACUGCCAGCAGCGACAGAAUUCACUGUCACUCCAAAACAUACCAUGUCAGACACAACAGCGUGGCUAACAUUCUGUACUCCAUCUAUAUCAGCCUCUCACCAACUAGCCCAUUUUUACCUUUGGUUUUAUAACGCUGAGCCUUCAGACGGACUGAGAAGGUAUAAUCCCAAAUGACACACCGCCCAGAGAAGUGUGUGGGAGUCCCUCCUGUUGCUCAGAGACCUAAUAUAAGACUCAGUCACAAGAAAGUCAGCACUGCUACACCAAAAACCCUUCAGAUGGGAGAUGUUAGUCUUUCCUGUUUGCGAAGGCAUUCCCUCAGGAAGUGGAUGGCCAAGAAAGGAAAUGUGUCGUCCCCCCCCCCCGUUUAGCAGGGCUGUCCCAUGAACAGCUUAGCUGGUUUAUAGGAAAGGGCAUUGAGGGAUUACAAAGGGCUGACUCUGUCUGGAGGGUAAAUAGCCCCCUCCUGCGUCAUUAAGGAGGUGUAACGUGGUGUUGUUUGUUACCCUGGAGACAUCUCACCUUAAUGGGACCUGAGAGUUACUAUUCAUAACUCCAACGGCAUUUACGGGUGAAACUCCUUAUAUCCACAUAGAUUCACUUGUCAGUGUUUUUCAACCUAUUUUUAUAACCCACAUGUGUUUCGAACAUUGUUUUAAGGAAGUAAAAUCAAGCGUAAAUCAUUUGUUGUAUGGACACUACCUAUUAGAUCAACCCAUGCUGCAUUUGUGUUUACCACCUUGUGCCUGAAUGCACUUCUUCAACCUCUGCCACUGGGUCAAAGGGUCAGAUGGAUAUGCCAUUAGCUAAUGACCAUUCGUUUCUUUCUCAUCUUACUCUGGCUAAGUGAUGCAGGCACCAUUGAUUUGACAUAUCCCAGGCAAGGCAGCUCUUCCUGUGUGCUGUCCUCUUGGUCAAAUUGUAGCAUACGGUGACACAGUGACUUUGGUCCAUGGGAGAGAUCCAUUGGGCAUUCAGAACAGGGCAGCCUUGUACAUUGUAAUCUCGUAAUAACUGGCUAGUGCUAGAGUCAAGAUGAAGUCUGCAUUGCUAAAUGCUUCCUUGUUAAACUGUGUGUGUGCACGGUUGCCCUAGCAGUUGGAUUGGGAUUAGGGUCGAAAAGGGUGACUGUGAGGUGACACAAAGACACCAUGGGAACUACUGGCUGGAGUGAUUUCCCCUGGACGAGUGAUGACAAUGGGCAGAUUAAGGCCAAGCAGAGGCCACUCUCACUCAGCCAGUGGCUAAUGGUGCCCUUCGGACAUUCUCUGAACUGAAACCUGGGACAGGUGAUGUUGUUUGUUUAAAUUGCUGUAGAUUAUUGAAUCUAUAUCCUUGGUUUGUGGUAGAAAAACAAAUAAAUUGAUCCCCAUUUGAAGUGCUCUGAG
ensembl:lncRNA